AAAGCGUGCGCAGGCGGUUAUGUAAGACAGAUGUGAAAUCCCCGGGCUCAACCUGGGAACUGCAUUUGUGACUGCAUGGCUAGAGUACGGUAGAGGAGGAUGGAAUUCCGCGUGUAGCAGUGAAAUGCGUAGAUAUGCGGAGGAACACCGAUGGCGAAGGCAAUCCCCUGGACCUGUACUGACGCUCAUGCACGAAAGCGUGGGGAGCAAACAGGAUUAGAUACCCUGGU
rnacentral:rRNA from 1 species